UCCCGCAACGAGCGCAACCCUUUUCCUUAUUUGCCAGCGGGUUAAGCCGGGAACUUUAAGGAUACUGCCAGUGACAAACUGGAGGAAGGCGGGGACGACGUCAAGUCAUCAUGGCCCUUACGACCAGGGCUACACACGUGCUACAAUGGUCGGUACAAAGGGUUGCUACCUAGCGAUAGGAUGCUAAUCUCAAAAAGCCGAUCGUAGUCCGGAUUGGAGUCUGCAACUCGACUCCAUGAAGUCGGAAUCGCUAGUAAUCGCGGAUCAGAAUGCCGCGGUGAAUACGUUCCCGGGCCUU
rnacentral:rRNA from 1 species